UAGGGAAUCUUCGGCAAUGGGGGCAACCCUGACCGAGCAACGCCGCGUGAGUGAAGAAGGUUUUCGGAUCGUAAAGCUCUGUUGUAAGAGAAGAACGUGUGUGAGAGUGGAAAGUUCACACAGUGACGGUAACUUACCAGAAAGGGACGGCUAACUACGUGCCAGCAGCCGCGGUAAUACGUAGGUCCCGAGCGUUGUCCGGAUUUAUUGGGCGUAAAGCGAGCGCAGGUGGUUUAAUAAGUCUGAAGUUAAAGGCAGUGGCUUAACCAUUGUUCGCUUUGGAAACUGUUAAACUUGAGUGCAGAAGGGGAGAGUGGAAUUCCAUGUGUAGCGGUGAAAUGCGUAGAUAUAUGGAGGAACACCGGUGGCGAAAGCGGCUCUCUGGUCUGUAACUGACGCUGAGGCUCGAAAGCGUGGGGAGCAAACAGG
rnacentral:rRNA from 1 species